rnacentral:rRNA from 1 species
GACGAACGCUGGCGGCGUGCUUAACACAUGCAAGUCGAGCGGUAAGGCCCUUUCGGGGUACGACGAGCGGCGAACGGGUGAGUAACACGUGGGUGACCUGCCCUUACGCUCUGGGAGUAAGCCUGGGAAACGUGGGUCUAAUACCGGAUAUGACUCCAUAACGCAUGUUGUGGGGUGGAAAGCCUUGUGCGGCUAGGGAUGGGCCCGCGGCCUAUCAGCUUGUUGGUGGGGUGAUGGCCACCAAGGCGACGACGGGUAGCCGGCCUGAGAGGGC